rnacentral:SRP_RNA from 1 species
GCUGGGCAUGGUGGUGUGUGCCUGUAAUCCCAGCUACUCGGGAGGCUGAGGCAGGAGGAUCGCUUGAACCCGGGAGGCAGAGGUUGCAGUGAGCUGAGACUGCACCACUGAACUCCAGCCUGGGUGACAGAGCAAGACUCUGUCUCAA